GCGCCCAUAGCUCAGGCGGAUAGAGCAACUGCCUUCUAAGCAGUGGGCCGCUGGUUCGAGUCCAGCUGGGCGCGCCA
rnacentral:tRNA from 1 species